GAUGAAGAACGUAGCGAAAUGCGAUAAGUAAUGUGAAUUGCAGAAUUCAGUGAAUCAUCGAAUCUUUGAACGCACAUUGCGCCCCUUGGUAUUCCGAGGGGCAUGCCUGUUCGAGCGUCAUUACACCACUCAAGCUAUGCUUGGUAUUGGGCGUCGUCCUUAGUUGGGCGCGCCUUAAAGACCUCGGCGAGGCCACUCCGGCUUUAGGCGUAGUAGAAUUUAUUCGAACGUCUCUCAAAGGAGAGGAACUCUGCCGACUGAAACCUUUAUUUUUCUAGGUUGACCUCGGAUCAGGUAGGGAUACCCGCUGAACUUAAGCAUAUCAAUAAGCGGAGGA
rnacentral:misc_RNA from 1 species